rnacentral:rRNA from 1 species
GUGCCAGCAGCCGCGGUAAUACGUAGGUGGCAAGCGUUGUCCGGAUUUACUGGGCGUAAAGGAUGUGUAGGCGGAUAUUUAAGUGAGAUGUGAAAUCCCCGGGCUUAACUUGGGGGCUGCAUUUCAAACUGGAUGUCUAGAGUGCAGGAGAGGAAAGCAGAAUUCCUAGUGUAGCGGGGAAAUGCGUAGAGAUUAGGAACAAAACCAGUGGCCAAGGUGGUUUUCUGGACUGUAACUGACG